AGUAACGCGUAGGAACCUAGUCCUUAUGUGGGGGAGUAACAGUGGGAAACCGCUGCUAAUACCGCAUGUGGUCAUUUUCUGUAGUGGGAGGAUGAAGAAAGGCGAAAGCCGCAUGAGGAGGGGCCUGCGUCCGAUUAGUUAGUUGGUGGGGUAACGGCUCACCAAGGCGACGAUCGGUAGCUGGUCUGAGAGGAUGGUCAGCCACACUGGGACUGAGACACGGCCCAG
rnacentral:rRNA from 1 species